AAGGAAGAAGAACUCAUGAAGCAAGUGCAUUUUCGCAACAAUGGUGCAGCUCCCACUAAAUCAGCUUCUGUUUUGAAGGAGAAAAACGAGUUUGAAGUUGGGUGGUCAAUGCUGAAUGUGUAUGAAGGUGAGCUACGAAUUUCUUGCUAAUGGAGAUGGAAGUUUGGGCAAGAGGGAGAUGCAAUAGUAGCAAGAGCACCAUCUCAACCCCUAUUAAUCCAAGGUGCAGUUUAGUAGCGUUUGGUCAAUAGCAGGUUUGGACUGAAGACUUGGAAGUGGUGAUGGCUCGGAGACCUCUUCAGAUCUCAUCUUCCGCUGUGCAGAUCCAUUGAAGACACAUGUUCUGUAAUUCGUAUUAGGAUUUCAUGUUGUAUUUUAUUUGGAUCUUUCUAUAUCUAUAGCUUUUGUAUGUACUCAAUAUCAAUUUUAAC